rnacentral:rRNA from 1 species
AGCAGCCGCGGUAAUUCCAGCUCCAAUAGCGUAUAUUAAAGUUGUUGCAGUUAAAAAGCUCGUAGUUGAAUUUCGGGAUUAGUACGUCGGUCGUGCCUUCGGUACGUACUGGUGUUACUGAUUCCUACCUUCUGACGAACCAUCAUGUCAUUAAUUUGGUGUGGCGGGGAAUCAGGACUGUUACUUUGAAAAAAUUAGAGUGUUUAAAGCAGGCUCGCGCUUGAAUACAUUAGCAUGGAAUAAUGAAAUAGGACGUUGACCCUAUUUUGUUGGUUUCUAGGAUCGACGUAAUGAUUAAUAGGGAUAGUUGGGGGCAUUAGUAUUCAAUUGUCAGAGGUGAAAUUCUUGGAUUUAUUGAAGACUAACUACUGCGAAAGCAUUUGCCAAGGAUGUUUUCAUUAAUCAAGAACGAAAGUUAGGGGAUCGAAGACGAUCAGAUACCGUCGUAGUCUUAACCAUAAACUAUGCCGACUAGGGAUCGGAUGAUGUUAAUUUUUUAAUGACUCAUUCGGCGCCUUAC